UACGGAGGGUGCUAGCGUUGUUCGGAAUUACUGGGCGUAAAGCGCACGUAGGCGGCUUUGUAAGUUAGAGGUGAAAGCCCGGGGCUCAACUCCGGAACUGCCUUUAAGACUGCAUCGCUUGAAUCCGGGAGAGGUGAGUGGAAUUCCGAGUGUAGAGGUGAAAUUCGUAGAUAUUCGGAAGAACACCAGUGGCGAAGGCGGCUCACUGGACCGGUAUUGACGCUGAGGUGCGAAAGCGUGGGAAGCAAACAGG
rnacentral:rRNA from 1 species